AUGUGCUACUGCCAAGUGCAGCAACAGUACGCAGGCUUCAUCUUACUUCUUUCACCUCCAUUUUGCAAAUAUAUUUUUCACGCCAUUAUCUUUCAGAUUUUUGCAGAUUUCUCCCUGCACUGCGAAUUCUUCAACGUUAAUACAACACUCAGAUGUCCUCAAUCUGUAGCUCGCUUGGUUUUCUGGUUCCUCAAUUGAGGCACAGGAGGAACACCCGCUUCUUGAUUUUAUUUCACCCCAAGAGAUAUAUUAGCUUCGUCUCGCCUGUAAUUUACUGCUCAAACAAUGACUCCAUUUCCAAACAAAGCCAGGGUUAUGAUCCUUCAGAAGAGUUACUGGGACUUGAGGCUGAUCUCAAGCCAAGGAAUUCUAUCUAUGGUGCAUCUAAACCAAGAUCUUGGUUUGGCCCAAAUGGUCAGUAUAUUAGAGAGCUUCCUUGCCCUAGUUGCAGGGGGAGAGGUUAUACUCCAUGUACAGAGUGUGGAAUCGAAAGAUCAAGAUUAGAUUGUUCUCAAUGUAAUGGAAAGGUACGUGCUUCUCAUCCUCAUUUAAAAAUUCAGCGACAUUACCCAAUUCUCUAUGCCUAUGGUUCUGUAGUAAAUCAUCCUCUUUUACAGAAACGUCGGGAAUCGUUUUCUGCUACUGCUUCCCACAAAAAAGAAUGUUGUUAAUUCCUAGUUUCUUUUGGAAGACUUUCUUCUAGUUUACACCAUACCCUCUCUGCCUCUACUUUCUUGCAAGUACCAUUGCUCCCUUCAUCUUGUCAAGUAGGGAACCAAACGCUUAUAUCAUAUAGUGCAAAUGCUAAAUAUAUGGUCAAAAUAGGCUGAUGUAAGGAUUCUUGGUUCCUAACCUGAGUGAAUGCAUCACCUACACAGAUGAAAGUCACAAGCAGGAUAGGGAUCUCGUACUAACUUCACUAGAAUUUAUCUAGCCAAAGUAUCACAGAACUGGAACACUAAUAGUUCUGAAUUCAGUUGUAAGUUACAAGAAUUUUCUAGAUGAUACCACAUGCUCACAGCUUUCAUAUUAAUGCUUUGACAGUGCCUCGUGCCAGGCACCAUUCAAAUAAGUUCAAUUAAUAUCCUUUUCCUUUCUUUUUGGAAUGCACAUGGAAUUGGAUGAAUUUGGCUUACUAUUUCUGUGCCUUUCUCGUUUUUUUCCUUGGGGAUUUGGUUCCCUUCAUUAACUGCCUAUGGGAUCUUCGAUGCAUGACGUCUUACUGAUUAUUUUGUCUGGUUGUAAAUUAAAACGACAUAUAUCUUCACUAUAUAAGGCAUAAUUUUUUUUCCUUUUAUUUUCACUUAUUUGAUUGUUACCAAUCACAACAGGGUAUAAUGACUUGCCGUCAGUGUUUGGGGGAUUGUGUCAUAUGGGAAGAGUCAAUUGAUGAGCAACCAUGGGAGAAAGCUCGCUCAAUGUAACUCCUCAACAUCUGCUCAUGACUCGCAUAUUUCUUGUUCUCCGCUCAAAGUGAAGGAUGAUGAUGAAGUAGACAAUUUAGAAAUAAAGCUGGAAAUGAAGAAAAAAUCUAAGCGUGUGUACCAAUCACCACCUCCUGAAGUUGGACAGAAGAUCAGUCGAUCACUAAAAGUUGGUAGCUUCAACCUUACCAAGACAUGUUCCAUAUAAAAGCUAAAAUGCAUCAGAUUCAUAUUUGUCAUUUUUCUUGUUUUCUUAGAAGCAAUCUAAACUAUAAAUGGGGAUGUGCAAUCUCAUUCAUGACUUGUCUUGUAGUGCAUUAGCAAAUAAAGUUAAAUUAGAUGUCAUGGAUGCUCAUCAAUUGAGCAGUUGCCUGAAUGUUGUAUUGCUAUAUUCCUGUUCCUGUCCCUUCUCUGCUUGUGUCAAUUUCUUUACGUAAUUGGGUAUAUAGAAAAGAAAGAGUUGGUCUGAAACCUUAAGCUUGUCACCCUGCAACUAUUGUGUCCUCAAAUAACGUGCAUAAAUAUUGGAGGGACUAUAUAUUAAUUAGGGGCAUUGAAGAAGUUACAGAAAAUCAAUUGGUAUGCAAGUGAUAAGUGAUUGUGUUUACUUCUUAAUACUGCACAUAUGGAGGUUGUGUAGUACUUCAAUAAUGAGUGACCUGAAGACCUGCUUUUAAAUAUUGCAUACGUUCAAGUAUUUAUCCUUCAUCUUCUGACAAUUGAUGUGAUUAUCUACAAACUCUGAGGCUUUUGUUAUUAUUUGUGAUAGUCCUGGCUGGUUCUUGUACUCAUAGGGAGUUCUGAAUUGGCCAGAUCGUGAUUUUAAUCUUCUUUGUUUAGUUGGAUGAUUACAGAGUCUCAAUGCCAAAACUGGACUAUUUAGUAAAAGAAUGAAGAUUAUCCAUCGCAAUCCUAAGCUUCAUGCACAAAGGGUGGCUGCAAUUAAGAAGGCCAAAGGGACUGCUGCAGCAAGGAAACAUACUUCUGAAACUUUGAAAGCUUUCUUUAGUGAUCCAGAAAAUCGACGCAAGAGGAGCAUUGCUAUGAAAGGAGCGAAAUUUUACUGCAGACACUGCGGACGAGAAGGACAUCGAAAACACUACUGUCCAGAACUUAGGGAUAGCUUGAUAGACUGGCGGUUUAGAUGCCGAGUGUGUGGGGAAAAGGGCCAUAACAGAAGAACAUGCCUGAAGUCGAGGACAAGUAAUCAUAAAGGUACAGUUAGAAGGCAUCACAGCUGCAAAAUUUGUCAUCAAAGUGGCCAUAAUCGAAGGACUUGCCCCAAACUGACGGGGACAAAAUCAGGCUGCACUGAUGCAAAGAAAGAUUUUGUGCUAGCUGGACGUAGAGCAUACACCUGCCGUUUUUGUCGAGAAAAAGGACACAACACGAGGACCUGUCCUAAUGGAAAUAGAGAGCCUGCAACGAUUAAUCCUGGAUAUAAAGAGGACGCCAACGGCCUGUCUGUGGGCUAAUGCGUCUUCAUUGAACUUACAGGCCGUAGGUUUUCUUUUUUUCUUUUUUUUCCUUUUUCCCCCUUUUUACCAGUGUUGGUGCUCUAAAAAUGUAAGAGAAUUUUGUUUAAAUUGAUACUGGAAGUAAUGAGCUGCCUUGGCAGCAGGACAGCAGCAAAAGGUAUUAACGUGUUCUUUUGGCAAAAGAUUGUUUACUGUUGAAUGUUGCGUUCAUUGCAAAUUUAUGUCCGAGAUGGCUCUAUUUCAACUCCUAAUGAUUUGGUAUCAUGGUUUGGCAUUAAGAUGUCCUGCAAGUAAAUAUCCUUUCCUGUUGUAAUUUCAACAUAGAAGGAAGAUUAAAGAGUAAUAUUUGAAUUGGCC
rnacentral:misc_RNA from 1 species